GACUGAGAAUUAAAGCAAGCGAACAAAGAACUCCCAGCAGCCGCCCGCCAGCGCCUCGCAGCUGCAUGCAGUAGGAGACGUCAGUCACGCCCGGAAGGCUAUUCGAAUCCGCCUCCCUAAGAAAAGAGCUCAAGUAAAUAACCGACGGAGAUUGUUCGGCCCAGGACACAGCCAUGCAAAAAACCAAUGAAUCCGAUUCCGAGCGGUUUUGAAAUCUUCGGCCAAGUACAGGAUCUGGGAGUGAAGCAAGGACUUUGAGCGCGGUACCGUCUUCCAUCACGGGUGUGGCUCUGACCUUUUUAUUUUCUUGCCACCCCUAUCUUUCCCCCACCCCCCGCCCAGUCUUCGCCUUCAUUUUCCUCUUGAAAGUAGCCUCUGGUUACUUCUACCCUGUCCUCCCUUGCAGUCCCGCCCCUGCUCUGCCCAGUCCGGUGAGGUCAGCUCAUGCAUACCAGUGCACUUCCUGGGGAGCGUCUGGCACUGCUUGGUACCUCUCGUGGUCUCCUGUUCCCAGCCGCAGCCCCAAACUAGCCGCCGAGCAGUAACCUGCUCCGGAGCUCGCAGAGUCUGCACGUUAACGCCUUUGUUUGGAGAAAUCGAGUGGAGGUGGAACUGAGGCGAGCGGGCCCCAGGUCGUGCUCAACCAGACAGUAUAUACCACGCAGUCAAACUUUCCUCGUCUUUGAAAGACGAUAAUAAACACUGAGGUCGCCGGAAGAGCAGAAGGAAAGAGUUGUUGAUUUGCAUCAACUUCAAAACUUCGCCUCAGCUGAGAUGGUUGCUUCGUUGUUAUUUCCACCGGGGAAUCCUUAAAGAGAAACAGCAUAUUGUCACUCUGUGAGACCCACAUGACCGCAACCAGAUUAGAAAGGACGAUUGCUGGCGCUGUGAAGGGCAGAGAAUGAUUUGGCGGUGGACCGUUCUACAUCGCACCGGGUAGUUCUUCCUAGACCGCCAUGAGUCAGCCACCGACGGGGGGCGCUGCCCCUGCCGCAGCCGCAGCGGCUGCAGCCCCCGCUGCCGCGGAAGCUCGCCUGCACCCGGAGGGCAGCAGCAGAAAGCAGCCGCGUGCCCAGUCACCGGCUAGGCUGAGGGACAGUUCGGUCCGGCAGGCAGCCGCGGCCGCGCGAUCACCAGUGGGCACCGGCAGUAAGGUCAAUUCUGUUCGACAGCAGCAGCCGCAGCCGCCGCCUCAGAGCAGCAGGGCCGGGAGCCGCGCGGCGUCCGCGGCCGUCCCCCGGGGAGGUGGAGGCGGGGCCGAGAAGGCGGCGCCCCAGGCGCCCAAAGGGGCCGCGCCUGGAGCUGUCCAGCUCGCGGCUGGUGCUGAAUCGGCCUCCGUGGCGACCCUGGCCCCGGUGGGUGGCAGGAGGCCCGUCCAGUCCGAGGAGCCGCCCCGGGAGCUACAGCCCGUGUGUAAACUCGGGGAACCCCCUCCGCUCGGGGAGGGAGGAGGAGGAGCUGGGGAAGGAGGAGGAGCCGGCGGCAGCUUCGGGGAGAGGGAAGGGGGCGCCCCUCCGCUGCCGCCGCCGCCCAGGAGCUGGCGAGGGAAAGGCGCGCGCUCUCAGCAGAGGGGCGGCAGCGGCGGGGAGGGGGCCUUUCCCUCCUCCGCCUCCUCGGUGGGCAAAACCCCAGGCCCCGGGAGCAAGAGCUCCGGAAGCGGCGCCGUGGGGGGCGGCAGCGGCGGCGGAGGGAGCUACUGGAAGGAAGGAUGUCUGCAAUCUGAGCUCAUCCAGUUCCACCUCAAGAAAGAGCGCGCGGCAGCGGCGGCGGCCGCGGCUCAGAUGCACACCAAGAACGGUGGUGGCCCCAGCAGCCGCAGUUCCCCGGUCACUGGCGCCCUUGCCAUCUGCGAACCCCUUGCAGUCCCUUCCGCCUCAAUGGCGGCGGCAGCGGAGGGCCCCCAGCAGAGCGCAGAGGGCAGCGCGAGCGGCGGGGGCAUGCAGGCGGCGGCACCCCCCUCGUCGCAGUCGCACCCGCAGCAGCUCCAGGAGCAGGAGGAAAUGCAGGAGGAGAUGGAGAAGCUGCGAGAGGAAAACGAGACUCUCAAGAACGAGAUUGAUGAGCUGAGGACGGAGAUGGACGAGAUGAGGGACACUUUCUUCGAGGAAGAUGCCUGUCAACUGCAAGAAAUGCGCCAUGAGUUGGAGAGAGCCAACAAAAACUGCCGGAUCCUGCAGUACCGCCUCCGCAAAGCCGAGCGCAAAAGGCUCCGCUACGCGCAGACAGGAGAAAUUGACGGGGAGCUGUUGCGCAGCCUGGAGCAGGACCUCAAGGUUGCAAAAGAUGUAUCUGUGAGACUACACCAUGAAUUGGAGAAUGUGGAAGAAAAGCGAACAACCACAGAAGAUGAAAAUGAAAAACUGAGGCAACAGCUUAUAGAAGUUGAGAUUGCAAAGCAGGCUUUACAGAAUGAACUGGAAAAAAUGAAGGAGCUAUCCUUAAAAAGAAGAGGAAGCAAAGAUAUGCCAAAAUCUGAAAAAAAGACUCAGCAGACUCCCACAGAGGAGGACAGUGAAGAUCUGAAAUGCCAGCUGCAGUUUGUGAAGGAAGAAGCUGCUUUGAUGAGAAAGAAAAUGGCCAAGAUUGACAAAGAAAAGGAUAGAUUUGAACACGAGCUCCAGAAGUACAGAUCCUUUUAUGGGGAUCUGGACAGUCCUUUGCCCAAAGGAGAAGCCGGGGGGCCUCCCAGCACCAGGGAGGCUGAGCUCAAGCUAAGGCUGAGGCUGGUGGAGGAGGAAGCCAACAUCCUGGGCAGGAAAAUCGUUGAACUGGAGGUGGAGAACAGAGGCCUGAAGGCGGAACUGGACGACCUGCGGGGCGACGACUUCAACGGCUCGGCCAACCCCCUCAUGCGGGAGCAGAGCGAAUCCUUGUCGGAGCUGCGGCAGCACCUGCAGCUGGUGGAGGACGAGACUGAGCUGCUGCGGAGGAACGUGGCCGACCUGGAGGAGCAGAACAAGCGCAUCACGGCCGAGCUCAACAAGUACAAGUACAAGUCAGGUGGCCACGAGAGCGCGCGGCACCACGACAGCGCCAAGAGCGAGGCCCUGCAGGAGGAGCUGAAGGCGGCGCGCCUGCAGAUAAACGAGCUCAGCGGCAAGGUCAUGCAGCUGCAGUACGAGAACCGCGUGCUCAUGUCCAACAUGCAGCGCUACGACCUGGCCUCGCACCUGGGCAUCCGCGGCAGCCCCCGCGACAGCGACGCCGAGAGCGAUGCUGGCAAGAAGGAGAGCGACGACGACUCGCGGCCGCCACACCGCAAGCGCGAAGGGCCCAUUGGCGGCGAGAGUGACUCGGAGGAGGUGCGCAACAUUCGCUGCCUCACGCCCACCCGCUCUUUCUAUCCAGCGCCCGGGCCCUGGCCCAAGAGCUUCUCCGACCGGCAGCAGAUGAAGGACAUCCGCUCGGAGGCCGAGCGCCUGGGCAAGACCAUCGACCGGCUCAUCGCCGACACCAGCACCAUCAUCACCGAGGCGCGCAUCUACGUGGCCAACGGGGACCUGUUCGGACUGAUGGACGAGGAGGACGACGGCAGCCGCAUCCGUGAGCACGAGCUGCUUUACCGCAUCAACGCGCAGAUGAAGGCCUUCCGCAAGGAGCUGCAGAACUUCAUCGACCGCCUUGAGGUGCCCAAAUCCGCGGACGACCGCGGUGCCGAGGAGCCCAUAUCCGUGAGUCAGACAAGAAGUAAAAGAAGUAUAAUUUCUGUAGUAACCGAUGUUAUAAAAACACUGAAGACUGCUUAUUUCUUUAAAAAGACACAUCUUACCACUACCAAAUUCAACAAGAAGCCUAAACACCAAAGUAUUUCAGGCUUUCUUUUAAAGGCAAGUGAGACUGCUUCAAAUAAAACACCUCCAAGCUUCCAAGGAAUAGUUAAGAGAAGGCAGAGACGAGCAGAAACACCCCUUCACUAACACUCACGCGGUUGCCAUGGACCUUCAGAAGCAGUGGGGAAACACAGAGACUAACUGGCACAAGGAAAAGAUGGAAUUACUGGACCAGUUUGACAGUGAAAGAAAGGAAUGGGAAAGUCAAUGGAAGAUCAUGCAGAAGAAGAUAGAAGAGAGAUGCAUGUCUCGGUGACAUUUACUGGACCAAAAAUAGCGUAACUUUACCCAGUGGUACAAAAGGGACUACACUUAUUUUACAGCCUUGCAUGAAAACUAAGAAUGUGAACUGUUGCUAGAAAGUGAGUAUAUCAACUUAUUAUUUUCUGGCUAGAGUGCCUUGGUAUUAAAAGUGAGGUAUGUAUUUUGCAUAAGUUUU